CUGUAGGAGGACUAUCACUCCCAAAAAAUGACGUCUUGAAGUAACAAUAAUGAUCCAUCGGUUGUCAUUUUCGCCACCAGGUGGCGUUUACCACGGCCGAGCGUCUGCUGUGUUUUCGAUGUGCUAGUGCAUUUUACUACAUUUUGCUAUUGAGGAAAUAUAUUUUUUAAAAUGGGUAAAUAGUUUUAUUUCCUUAGUUAAACCAAGCCGUCUUUUUGCUUGGAUCUAAAAAGAAAGUUCAAUAUCUUAUACGUGUCAUCAAACAAACUGUCGCCCUAGUAAAGUAAUAUAACAUAAUGCGAUGAAGGUUAAAGAGGUUUAAGCAAAGUCAAAAAUUUCCUACCGCUUCUAAUAUCUAAUGUUGUAUCUGCCUUAACUUCCAAGAGAUUUAAAGAAGUACGGACGAACGAAACGGGGAAAUUCCGGCAUAACAACACAACAACAACAUUUUUCCUUAUUAGGACUAUAUGCAGGAGCAUACCAAUUCCUUGGUCUGAAAUUGAAAUUCACACUUUGUAUGGUGCGAAAAACAGGGAAAGGGUAAGAAUAUUGAUCAUUAUGUCAUAAUGGAAAGGUAUAUCCACCGGGGAUGGUGAGAAACAUCAGGGUGCCACGAAAUUGUAUAAAAUUGUGCAACAGAGCCAACUAUAAUCAGUUGAGUGUCCAUCUACAACUUAACAAGAGAAUUUCAGUUGUUUACCAAUUACUGAAUUCUCUUGCUCGUUAACAUCAACAACUUCAGUUAGCCUUGCAACAAUAGGCAUCCAUGGCCUUACGCUUCUACUUACUAUUGCCCUUAUGACUGGGACAAGCAUAGGUGUGCCAAUGGGUUCACCGUCUUCUAGCUAUGGUGAUAGUCUCCGCUUUAUAUUUACACGUUUUUACACCAAGAGCCAAGAGGGGUAGGGCCUGAAAUACAUGGCUUUAAAUUAUU
rnacentral:lncRNA from 1 species